UAGGGAAUCUUCGGCAAUGGACGAAAGUCUGACCGAGCAACGCCGCGUGAGUGAAGAAGGUUUUCGGAUCGUAAAACUCUGUUGGUAGAGAAGAACGUUGGUGAGAGUGGAAAGCUCAUCAGGUGACGGUAACUACCCAGAAAGGGACGGCUAACUACGUGCCAGCAGCCGCGGUAAUACGUAGGUCCCGAGCGUUGUCCGGAUUUAUUGGGCGUAAAGCGAGCGCAGGUGGUUUAUUAAGUCUGGUGUAAAAGGCAGUGGCUCAACCAUUGUAUGCAUUGGAAACUGGUAGACUUGAGUGCAGGAGAGGAGAGUGGAAUUCCAUGUGUAGCGGUGAAAUGCGUAGAUAUAUGGAGGAACACCGGUGGCGAAAGCGGCUCUCUGGCCUGUAACUGACACUGAGGCUCGAAAGCGUGGGGAGCAAACAGGAUUAGAUACCCUGGUAGUCCACGCCGUAAACGAUGAGUGCUAGAUGUAGGGAGCUAUAAGUUCUCUGUAUCGCAGCUAACGCAAUAAGCACUCCGCCUGGGGGAGUACGACCGCAAGGUUGAAAC
rnacentral:rRNA from 1 species